AAUAUAGGACGAGUUACGAUAUUCUUUAUGCCAAUUACAGAAACUGAAUCUUGUAAUAAUUUGUUUUGUGUCAUGGGUUAAAUAAUCAACCCGCUUCGUACGUAAUUCUAAAGAAUUUCUUUUCUAUACUUUAAACUUUGUUACAAGGUUAUUUACUUUAGACUUUAUAUCAAUAGUUAAUGUUAUUAUAAUACUAAUUGUGCAGUGAUAAUUUAGGUUAGCGUACCGUAUACAAGAAGUAUUAUAUUCGUAGGGUAUAGUGUUUCUUUCUUUGCUUGUCUGAAAGCUUUUUCGGUACGCAAUAUCCACCCUCGUAAAUGCUCACCCUCGCACACGUACACAAACUUACACCCUUUCAACCACCAUUUCACCACAAUGGCAACCGGUCGUAUUUUUCAAAUCUUUCGCGUUCAUCCUUUUCUCCUGUCAUUUCAACUUAAGCGGCGAGAUACGACGCAUUAUAUUUGUUAUACAAGAUGUUCCGUAACUUUUAAUUAAUCUUGCGGGCGGUAAAAGAGGGUGGAAUUCGUAACUGAAAAUUUUCAGUUUAAGAAAUUGCGCGUGGCAAUAUAACGAAGUGCAAAAUUAAAGUGUAGAAAUGGAACAAGUGGUACUGUAAUGUACGGAGAAACAUGUGGCGAUUUAAUGCGUAGUAAUAUAGCGUAUGUAUCGCUUGAUUUUUCACGUGGCAAUAUAACGCGAGGAAAUGAGAAAGGCAGAAAUAUAACACUUGGAAAUUGAAUGAGCAGUAUUAUAACUCGUGGCUUUUGAAGAAAUGGCGAUGUAAUGCGUGGAAAUGAAAUUGGCAAUAUAACGCGUGGAAAUGAAAUUGGCAA